GACGGAGGAUGCAAGUGUUAUCCGGAAUCACUGGGCGUAAAGCGUCUGUAGGUGGUCAAAUAAGUCAACUGUUAAAUCUUGAGGCUCAACCUCAAAAUCGCAGUCGAAACUAUUCGACUAGAGUAUAGUAGGGGUAAAGGGAAUUUCCAGUGGAGCGGUGAAAUGCGUAGAGAUUGGAAAGAACACCGAUGGCGAAGGCACUUUACUGGGCUAUUACUAACACUCAGAGACGAAAGCUAGGGUAGCAAAUGGG
rnacentral:rRNA from 1 species